GAGUGGCGGACGGGUGAGUAACGCGUGGGUAACCUGCCUCAUACAGGGGGAUAACAGUUAGAAAUGACUGCUAAUACCGCAUAAGCGCACAGUAUCGCAUGGUACCGUGUGAAAAACUCCGGUGGUAUGAGAUGGACCCGCGUCUGAUUAGCUAGUUGGCGGGGUAACGGCCCACCAAGGCGACGAUCAGUAGCCGACCUGAGAGGGUGACCGGCCACACUGGAACUGAGACACGGUCCAGACUCCUACGGGAGGCAGCAGUGGGGAAUAUUGGGCAAUGGGCGCAAGCCUGACCCAGCAACGCCGCGUGAGGGAAGACGGCCCUAUGGGUUGUAAACCGCUUUUGCAUGGGAGCAAUAAGGGUCACGUGUGGCCCGAUGAGAGUACCAUACGAAUAAGGAUCGGCUAACUCCGUGCCAGCAGCCGCGGUAAUACGGAGGAUUCGAGCGUUAUCCGGAUUUAUUGGGUUUAAAGGGUGCGCAGGCGGACCGUUAAGUCAGGGGUGAAAAGUUGGGGCUCAACUCCAAUCGUGCCUUUGAUACUGGCGGACUAGAGUGCAGGGGACGUGACUGGAAUGUGAUGUGUAGCGGUGAAAUGCUUAGAUAUGUCACAGAACGCCGAUCGUGAAGACAGGUCACGAAUCUGCAACUGACGCUCAUGCACGAAAGCGUGGGGAUCAAACAGGAUUAGAUACCCUGGUAGUCCACGCUGUAAACGAUGAUCACUCGUUGUUGGCCGGUGACGGUCAGUGGCUAAGCGAAAGCGAUAAGUGAUCCACCUGGGGAGUACGAUCGCAAGGUUGAAACUCAAAGGAAUUGACGGGGGCCCGCACAAGCGGAGGAGCAUGUGGUUUAAUUCGAUGAUACGCGAGGAACCUUACCCGGGCUUGAACGUAAGACGAAGAUACAGGAAACUGUAUCGCCUUCGGGCGUUUUGCGAGGUGCUGCAUGGUUGUCGUCAGCUCGUGUCGUGAGAUGUUGGGUUAAGUCCCGCAACGAGCGCAACCCUUAUGAUUAGUUGCUACGCAAGAGCACUCUGAUGAGACUGCCGUUGAUAAAACGGAGGAAGGUGGGGAUGACGUCAAAUCAUCAUGCCCCUUAUGACCUGGGCUACACACGUACUACAAUGGUAAUAAACAGAGGGAAGCAACACCGCGAGGUGAAGCAGACCCCAAAAAGUUAUCUCAGUUCAGAUUGCAGGCUGCAACUCGCCUGCAUGAAGUCGGAAUUGCUAGUAAUCGCGAAUCAGCAUGUCGCGGUGAAUACGAUCCCGGGCCUUGCACACACCGCCCGUCAAG
rnacentral:rRNA from 1 species